CCUACGGGUGGCAGCAGUGAGGAAUAUUGGUCAAUGGUCGGGAGACUGAACCAGCCAAGCCGCGUGAGGGAUGAAGGUACAGAGUAUCGUAAACCUCUUUUGUCAGGGAACAAAGGCGGGGACGUGUCCCCGGAUGAGUGUACCUGAAGAAAAAGCAUCGGCUAACUCCGUGCCAGCAGCCGCGGUAAUACGGAGGAUGCGAGCGUUAGCCGGAUUUAUUGGGUGUAAAGGGCGUGUAGCCGGGUUGACAAGUCAGAUGUGAAAUCCUGCGGCUUAACCGCAGAACUGCAUUUGAAACUGUUGAUCUUGAGUACUGGAGAGGCAGAUGGAAUUCCUAGUGUAGCGGUGAAAUGCGUAGAUAUUAGGAGGAAUACCAGUGGCGAAGGCGGUCUGCUGGACAGCAACUGACGGUGAGGCGCGAAAGCGUGGGGAGCAAACAGGAUUAGAUACCCGAGUAGUC
rnacentral:rRNA from 1 species